rnacentral:tRNA from 1 species
GGGGAUGUAGCUCAGUGGUAGAGCGUCCGCUUCGCAUGCGGAAGGUCCGGGGUUCAAUCCCCCGCAUCUCCA